rnacentral:rRNA from 1 species
GAUGAACGCUGGCGGCGUGCCUAAUACAUGCAAGUCGAGCGAACGGACGAGAAGCUUGCUUCUCUGAUGUUAGCGGCGGACGGGCGAGUAACACGUGGAUAACCUACCUAUAAGACUGGGAUAACUUCGGGAAACCGGAGCUAAUACCGGAUAAUAUUUUGAACCGCAUGGUUCAAAAGUGAAAGACGGUCUUGCUGUCACUUAUAGAUGGAUCCGCGCUGCAUUAGCUAGUUGGUAAGGUAACGGCUUACCAAGGCAACGAUGCAUAGCCGACCUGAGAGGGGAAUGGGCCACACGGAAACGGGAAACGGUCCAGGAUCCUAAGGGAAGGAACCAUUGGGAAUCUUCCGCAAUGGGCGGAAACCUUACGGAGCAACGGCGGGGGAGUGAAGAAGGUUUUCGGAUCGGAAAACUCUGUUUUUAGGGAAGAACAUAAGUGUAAGUAACUGUGCACAUCUUGACGGUACCUAAUCAGAAAGCCACGGCUAACUACGUG